rnacentral:misc_RNA from 1 species
UUGUGGAGGAGGACGCCGAAGGUGGGGCUAAUGACUGGGGUGAAGUCGUAACAAGGUAGCCGUACCGGAAGGUGCGGCUGGAUCACCUCCUAACAGGGAGACAACAAAAUGUUUAAUAUUAUUAUUUUGCCACCUUAGGUCGAUCGGUAUCUCACAUCCUUAAUUUUAUUAAGGAUUUCAUUAUCCUAAGUUUUUCUAGGUCACACCCAUUAUUUUUCCUGGGCCAUUAGCUCAGGUGGUUAGAGCGCACCCCUGAUAAGGGUGAGGUCCCUGGUUCAAGUCCAGGAUGGCCCAUCUCUCUAUGUUGGGGGUAUAGCUCAGUUGGUAGAGCGCCUGCUUUGCAAGCAGGAUGUCAGCGGUUCGAGUCCGCUUACCUCCACUGAUUACCACCUCUUCCAUAUUCUGAAGAAAGGAAAUUUUUUGAGUCGUGAUCAAAUUCUGAACGAAUCUAGCUUCCUAAUGAAACUAUUAAGAUGCUGGACUCAUUGAAUUUAAUUCAUUGUUUUCAGAGAACCUUGACAACUGCAUAGAUUAUUUUUUUAAAGACAAUAAGCAUCUUUAUGAUGCAGGUUUAUUAUUUGUGCGAAUGCAUUAAAUAACAAUUCUAUUAAGCUGAUGCUUCAAUUAUUGAAGUUAUUGGUCAAGCUACAA